GGAAGAGCUCAAAUUUAUAAUCUGGCACCUUCGGUGUCCGAGUUGUAAUCUCUAGAAAUGUUUUCCGCGUUGGACCGCACACAAGUCUGUUGGAAUACAGCGGCAUAGUGGUGAGACCCCCGUAUAUGGUGCGGACGCCCAGCGCUUUGUGAUACAUUUUCGAAGAGUCGAGUUGUUUGGGAAUGCAGCUCAAAUUGGGUGGUAAAUUCCAUCUAAAGCUAAAUAUUGGCGAGAGACCGAUAGCGAACAAGUACCGUGAGGGAAAGAUGAAAAGCACUUUGGAAAGAGAGUUAACAGUACGUGAAAUUGUUGGAAGGGAAACGCUUGAAGUCAGACUUGCUUGCCGAGCAAUCGGUUUGCAGGCCAGCAUCAGUUUUCCGGGAUGGAUAAUGGUAGAGAGAAGGUAGCAGUUUCGGCUGUGUUAUAGCUCUCUGCUGGAUACAUCUUGGGGGACUGAGGAACGCAGUGUGCCUUUUGGCGGGGGUUUCGACCUCUUCACACUUAGGAUGCUGGUGGAAUGGUUUUAAACGACCCGUCUG
rnacentral:rRNA from 1 species